rnacentral:rRNA from 1 species
UGGGGAAUAUUCCGCAAUGGACGAAAGUCUGACGGAGCAACGCCGCGUGAGUGAUGAAGGUUUUCGGACUGUAAAGCUCUGUUGUUUAGGACGAAAGUGCCUGUUGCGAAUAGUUACAGGUAUUGACGGUACUGAACGAGGAAGCCACGGCUAACUACGUGCCAGCAGCCGCGGUAAUACGUAGGUGGCAAGCGUUGUCCGGAAUUAUUGGGCGUAAAGAGCAUGUAGGCGGGAAUCUAAGUCUGUUGUGAAAAUGCGGGGCUCAACCCCGUAUUGCGAUGGAAACUGGGUUUCUUGAGUGCAGGAGAGGAAAGGGGAAUUCCCAGUGUAGCGGUGAAAUGCGUAGAUAUUGGGAGGAACACCAGUGGCGAAGGCGCCUUUCUGGACUGUGUCUGACGCUGAGAUGCGAAAGCCAGGGUAGCGAACGG